UUUAUUUAUUUAAUAAUGCUUCAGAAGACACGUUACAGAAGAGUUUUCGGGUGCUUUCGGCAGGCCUUGUAGCGCCCCGCCCUGGGGCGGCCUGCCGAGGCAACACAUACAGUUCAAGUCCACAGUGGUUUGGAGUUUUGCAACUCAGUAAUGAUCCCUCCGCUGGUUCACCAACGGAGA
rnacentral:misc_RNA from 1 species